rnacentral:rRNA from 1 species
GACAGAGGGUGCAAACGUUGUUCGGAAUUACUGGGCGUAAAGCGUGUGUAGGCGGCUAAGUAAGUCGGAUGUGAAAGCCCGGGGCUCAACCUCGGAAGUGCACCCGAAACUGCCUAGCUUGAGAAUCGGAGAGGUUGGUGGAAUUCUCGGUGUAGAGGUGAAAUUCGUAGAUAUUAGGAGGAACACCGGUGGCGAAGGCGGCUAUCUGGACGACAACUGACGCUGAGGCGCGAAAGCGUGGGGAUCAAACAGG